ensembl:lncRNA
AAUACCUUGUUUUUCAUCUCCUUAUGGGGUAGUUUCAUUACCACACGCUGUCAGAAAGUCUCACUGAAGUCUUUAGUGUGCUUCAAGCAGAAUUCUGAAAUGAGGUGGUCCAGAGUAUAGCUGUGGAAGUAAUGAAGAGCUAUAAAUACAUAUGUUUUAAGCCAGGGUCAAAAUACUCAAGGAUCAUAAUAAAAGAUGAAUGUAUUGCAAUUAAGUAUGCCUUCUUUAAAAAAAGAUAUCCUGUAAGAAGUAGCUACCUAAAACUACAAAUAAAUAAAUGAAUAGCUGUGCUGGAAGUUGCAAUUAUUUAGCGUAGAACUAGAAUGCAUUAUUUUUAAACAGUGAGAACAACUGAACACUCAUAAGCAUUCAAACACAUAACCAGCAACAGCAGUGGAUUCUCUACCACGAACAAUAAUUCUCAAAAGUAUCUGUUAGCCAAAGUAAAAUUAUUUCUUGUAAAUUCUAUGUUUUAAGAUAUGAAAAUAAUUAGACUGCUCUAAUGGCAUUUUCUGAGCUCAGUCUAGAAUCUACUUACUGACUUGUUGCUUUAUUAAUUCCUUUUUUUGGGUCAAUUUCCUGUAAAACAUACAGACAAUCUAUUUCCAUGGGUUUCUAGGCACAGCCUGGAAAUAUGACACAGAUACUAGCUUGCUAAGACAGUUAAUAAUUUUCUCUCUAUAUUCUCAUCCUAAGAAAUGUACUAUAUUAUAUCCCUUCACACUCAGUCAUUUGCAACCAGUGUAUACCACUUGAGACUCUUCUUAUGCAAACACUUAGGUUUAAGUAUUUAACUGCUACCAAAUCUCUUCCUUGCUUCCUCUGUCUAGACAACCUGUGUCAGUACUACAUCUGUAUGCAAAAUAAGUAGCUGACCCCUUUUGAUUUAAAUUUCAAGCUAAACUGCUGUAGAGAGCCUAUGAUGGAUGCAGAAUAAAUCAGCUGUUUAAGAAAGCAAUAGAUGUCUGCUCUCAUCUCCUUGAGUGAUGCUGAUCUAACGCCUGUAUUCUAAAAUUGCUGUGAGGAUCUCCCAUGUGGCAAAAGGCAGCCAGCACGGACAAUGAGUGGGCUCACUGCUUUCAGCCUUAUGAUUAUACAAUUAUCUGUCUGAUACACUGUUUCGGAAUUGUCUGAGCUGGAAACCUGCUGAAAAAUGUGUCCAAGCACAUCACAAAGCAAUGCUUGCAAUUUGUAGUUUACCGCCUGUACUGCUGACAGUUUAGAGAUCAAAUAAUGAAGUGUGAGGGGUGUGCUGAUCACUGCCGACCUCGUUAUGUUACAUUUCAAGAAGAGAUGUGCAGCAGACUCACAACAUCCAACACCGCUCAACAGCUCAUUAAUCAGCAGCCUGCUGAUCUCUUGUCCUCUUUGCUAUUCCACUCAGCUAGAAACUAUGUUUAUACAGGAGCUCUCAAGGAAGUUGUUUCUAUAAAGGAGACAAAUACCUGUCUGGUCCUUCUUCUGGCUGCGGAAUGUGCUCGUCGCCAAGCCCAGAUAAGGCUCUCUGGAUAAACAGACGUUCCUCUCAAAAGCAAGAAAUAUGAGAAACCGCAUAACCAUCUACCUUCUUGAGUUCAACUAGGAUCCAAUGCAAAAUCUCUCUGGGAGGAUUUAAACAUGAACAUGCGAACAUGCAGGAAUUUCACAGUAAGAAAUAUUACUGACCAGACAACAUGACAGGGAGCCAGUGCCUCAUUUCUGUGUGGUUUUCCAGUUCCUUCUUUUUUCUUUCCUUUUUCUUUUUAUCUUAUAGAACCCAUUUUGUGUACUUAUUUCAAUUAAAAACAAAACAAGAAAACCACACACGCACAAGAAAAAGACUUUUUUUUUUUUCUUAGAGGUGGAAAACAAAGUAAUUAUUUUGUCCUGGUAAAUCUACCAAUGAAUAUAUGAAAAAAAAAGGUCAUUUGUUAGAAGUGAUAUACCCAGCAUGGCAUACGAUAGUAGAAAUUAAUUUUCUUGCUACGAUUUUUUAAUAAUGUAUUACUUGUAAGACUUCUGUGCUCAGCACUCUCAACUGAAAUCAAAGCUCUGUCACUUCAGAUGCUCCUUAAAGCUAAAGUGGGGGGUGAUGGGAAAUAGAAGCUGAAGGUGAGUAAUGGACUUACAACCACAGUAAUGGUUUUUCACGUCACUGACAUUUAAAAAUUCAUUAAAUAAAAUAAUUCUGCCUGCAGAAGGAUAAUUAACUGGCCAUAUGGGCAACGGCUAGUAAAAAAAAAGAAAGAAAGAAAAGGACAAACAACCACAAAAACCCACCACAAACAGAAUGAUUCCUAUGCAUUAUAUCAAUAUUUUCUACUCGCAGUGGGAAAUGUUAGGUCAAGUCUCGAUGAAAUGGGCAGAAUUUCUAGCUCUUCAAAUUCAGAUAGUGCUCUAUCACAAUUAAUACAUAACUGGCUUUCUAUUUUUUUAUUUUUCCACUUCUACAUUGAAAACAUUGGCCGAUUUUUCACACUCACCUGCUGAUGAAAUUAGAAUUGGUGCUAUCUUUAGAUGGUUGAUGUUAAAUUAACAAUAUUUCCAAUGUGCUCUUACAGUAAACGCAAACAAAGUGUCUCUACCUGACUACCCACCUGAUGGCUUCCUUCCCAUUUGUCCUUCUGACUAUUAACCAAAGCACUAUUUAGAAUGUUUAUAGCAAUUAUAGCAAAACCAAGUGAACACCCUCAGUAUUUUCCAUCCAUUUUGAUCAAGAACAAUGCAAAAACUGUGUAACGGGAGAAAGCCAGCACGGAAUCCAAGUGCAUUUGCUUACACACAGCCUGCUCCACAAAUCCAAAAUCCAUUUUCAGUCUUGUACCUUGCAACUUUCCCCCUGCAGGAAAGCAUCUCCUCACCUCCAACUUCCUAUAGCCUUCCACAGUAAUGAAUAAACAAGAUAUAAAAGUGAGCAUAUACACACUUAAAUCAGUAUAUAAAGCAUCAGUGAGGUAAGCAGCUGUUCUUUACAGUCCCAAGUCUGCCCUCUGUGGAGGCUAAGAAUGGAGGGAAGUGAAGGAACGAGUUUAAGCAGCCCAUCAGACUUGUCUCCUCCAUUUGAAAGCAGCCAGCAGGCAGGGACAGACAGCUGAAGGCAGGAGAACAUCACCCACUUCUUGCCUAGUCUGCUGCACACAAUAGGUUACUUUAAUUUAAUGAUGCCCUACUUUUAAGGGAGAGAAGAGGCUACUCAAUUUCAAAAUGGAUUGCUGAAUUAGACAGCAGUGGCAGCUUCUAAAUUCAUCACCGGGUAAUGUGAUAUAGUGAUACCAUGGUGUACAUCAUACUUCACACACAAGACAAACCCUUCAUGAAAGGGCAGAACACUGCAGAGCAUCCCAAAUUUUCAUUCCCUGUCAGUAUGUCAGUAUAUGCUAGAGGUGAAUAUACAGCUUGGGAAGGGGAGUGCUAUUUUCAGCAGCCUUUAUCAAAAGUCAGGAAGCCUCAUUUGAACAAGAAACAUCAUCUGUCGAUGCAGGAAAGAGAAUGAAUGAUAAUAUUUGUUUAAAAACUGUCAAGGAAUGAUUCAACAUUCAUCAGCUCACUUCGUUCUCAUUAGCAAUAUUGAAAUAUCCAAUUUAGAAACCUUUCACUUUUCCUUUUUAGACGAUGGUAUGUUUUUAAACUUGUUUUAUGGAGAAUAAUCAGUAAUAAUACUUCC